AACUGUCAGCUAAUAACAACAUGUGUGUGUCUGAAAGAAACUAACAAAAGUGGCCCAAACUGCAGUUUAUUAUAAAGCGCUUUUAAUUCCCUGUAUAUUCAUUAAGUCUAAUAUCUACAAAUCAUAUAAGUGCUGUCACAGUGGUGGUUAUAAGGUUGGUAAUUCAGCUUAAGAGUUCAGAAUCUAUCUGUGAGAGCCUUCACAUAAAAGGGGCGGUUUUGGCACCAGAUGACAAGUCACAUGGACAGAUCUAGACGCAUAAUUCUCACCACAAGAUCAAACUGUAAUUUUAAGCAGAUCUGAAGAAUUUACCGACAGGCCAAAAGCAACACAGCUACUUGAGUCAGCGUUACUAAGUCUUCUCAACACCAAUGCCAUAUCAUUUAGGCAUGAUUAGACCUGACUUUAGCUACAUUUGUGAAUUCCAUUGAACUACUGUGAUGCUUAGAUGAGUGGAAGGGAAUCUGAGCCUUAAUCUUUAAACUGCAGAACAGCCUAGGAUUAGGCAAGAACAAAUAUAAUAUACAUGUCUAAAUAUCUGUAGCAUCUUCAACAAGUCCAAGGUUUUAGUUUCAAUCAAUCAUUUUUGUGAUUUCAUCUCUAUAUAAAGGCCUAUAGAAUAAAGAGAAGUGGUUCCUUCUCAUACUGAUGCUUUA